CAAUUAUUUUGAUUUUUAAAUCCCACAAAUAAGAGAACAUAUUAAGUUUGUCUUUCUGUGUCUAGCUUAUUUCACUUAACAUAAUGACCUCCAGUUCUAUCCAUGAAAUGUAGACAGCUAUAAAUGAAAUUGGCUAUGUUCUAAAUUCUCAAUGUUGAGAACAUGUCUUUUAAAAAUGUUUGUACAAGGUAUAGAUAAAAGUUAAGGUAGUCUCUGUCCCCUUGUAAUAAUAAAAAUUGCUCAAAUGCUUCCUAAUAUAUAUGUUAAUAACGGAGAUAUUUUCAUAAGGAAGACAAUUGUGGGA